rnacentral:lncRNA from 1 species
CCAGGGUUUUACUGAGAGCUAGGCACGGCUCAUAUCUUACUUAAUUAUUACAACAAGCUUAUAAGAAAGGAAUUUAAGCCCUCUUUGCAAAAGAGAAACCAUAGAUGCUCGUGAUUAAAUAAACUACUCAAGGUCACCCAAUCAAGUCAGGGCUUGAAUCCUGGUUGUCCUAGUUCCUAACCCAAUGUAUUUUCCCAUAUCUUAACAGACCAAAAUGAUUUGAUCAAAGCUGGUAGAAAGUGCGUCAGCCAUCCCUAGAAUUGACUUCCUGUGGACGUGGGUAACAUUCUGGAGUCAACAUCAGAACAAACGGCCUGAAAAAAUUCAUAUAAACUUUUGAGAAACUAAGCAUCCUUCUGGCCUUCAGGAUCUGUAGUUAUCAUAUAUUUGAAGCCUCUUCUCUGAGAUUAGGUUUUCCUUUUUCUCCACCUAUUUCUCAAGCACCAUUAAGCCUAAUUUUAUUUUGUAUUUGACUCUCUACCAUGGAUGGGAUAGAAGAAGUCAACCGUCCCUGGAGUUCACCGUUCAAAUCUUGGGCGUUCAUUUAAGAGGACCAAUGGCAAAGUAGAGAUGACUCCGUGGAGCACAUUCCCUGGAAACUGCACUGUAGGAAAUACUUGGAGGAAAGUUCAUCUCUUAGCCUGGGACAUCUACUAGUUUCCCAGGGCUGCCAUAAUAAAGUUCCGCAGUCUUAGGGACUUUAAGUAAUAAAAGUUUUUCUCACAGCUCUGGAGAAAAAGUUACAGAAGAUUCCUAUUUGAAUAAAGCAGACUUUUCUAACAAUAACAAUGAGCUUUAUUAUCCCGAUUGCAGGGUGAUGAGCUCCAGACUGAGUAGGGAUAUGUCAAAAACACGGUAGAAGCUAUUGCUAUAUCAAAUUGGCCUCCUCUCAGCUUUAAAUUCUUUUGUAUCCUAUUGCUCCCUUCUAGGCACAACUUAGCACAGAUACAUUUGAAAAAAUAUAUCCCAAAAAUUAUUUCCUUCCUUCCUUCCUUUCCUCCCUCCCUUCCUUCUUUCCUUCUUUUAUUUCUAGAACCAAAAAUUGCAUUUCUUUUGUGCAGAACUUUAUUCAUUACAAUAUUUGCACUCAGAUGAAAGAAACAUAUUUGGUGAUAGAUGAAAAGGAAAGUAAUUUAUAUUGUCUUUAUUCCAAUAUCAUUUAGCAUGUUCAAUUUACAUGAAUUAUUUGGCUAGAACUCUCAAUUUUUUUUUCUGAGUUAAGAAUGAUCAUAGAUUUAAUCAUAUAUAAGUACUUUAUGAAAUGAAUUAAUUUUGUUUUGAUUCUGUUAAUUUUAAUACAUUUAAAUGGCCAACCUCAGGAGACAGAGGGGGACAAAGCAUUAAGAAUUAAUUGGCAAGAUGAGGUAUGGCUGGCUUAUGUAUGUGGCUGGGGUCUGAAGCUCAGUAAAAGUUGUCCUUAAGUAAUAUAUUUCAUAUCUACUGGAUUCAAUGUGUAUAAACCAAAAUGUGUCUGUGACAUUGAUGGCCCAGUGUGUGCCUAUUCUAGGAAACAGUUUGGAAAAAUGUUUCUGUAAAGAGCCAUAUAGUAAAUACCUUAGGCCUUGAGAGUUACAUAUGUAUAAUAUUUGUCAUGGAUUCUUUGUUUCUUUCUUACCCCUCCUCUUCUUCUGCUUCUACAACAACCCUUUACAA